CCUACGGGAGGCAGCAGUAGGGAAUCUUUCACAAUGGGCGAAAGCCUGAUGGAGCAACGCCGCGUUCAGGAUGCAGGCCUUCGGGUUGUAAACUGCUGUUAUAAGCGAGCAAUAUGAUGGUAACUUAUGAAUAAGGAUCGGCUAACUACGUGCCAGCAGCCGCGGUCAUACGUAGGAUCCGAGCAUUAUCCGGAGUGACUGGGGGUAAAGAGUUGCGUAGGUGGCAUAAUAAGUAGCUAGUGAAAUCUGGUGGCUCAACCAUUCAGACUAUUAGCUAAACUGUUAAGCGCGAGACCGUUAGGGGUAACUGGAAGUUCUAGUGUAGGAGUGAAAUCCGUAGAUAUUAGAAAGAACACCGAUAGCGUAGGCAGGUUACUGGGACGGUUCUGACACUAAGGCACGAAAGCGUAGGGAGCAAACGGGAUUAGAUACCCCUGUAGUC
rnacentral:rRNA from 1 species